rnacentral:rRNA from 1 species
UACGGGGGGGGCAAGCGUUGUUCGGAAUUACUGGGCGUAAAGGGCUCGUAGGCGGCCAGCUAAGUCGGACGUGAAAUCCCUCGGCUCAACCGAGGAACUGCGUCCGAUACUGGAUGGCUUGAGUUCGGGAGAGGGAUGCGGAAUUCCAGGUGUAGCGGUGAAAUGCGUAGAUAUCUGGAGGAACCCCGGUGGCGAAGGCGGCAUCCUGGACCGACACUGACGCUGAGUGAGCGAAAGCCAGGGGAGCAAACGGG